AUGUUAUUAAUAAAUAUUGAUUUAAAUGAUGAAAAUAUAUUAUUGUGAUUGUAACUUCAAUCCAACUGGACUUUGGCUGAUAAAAUUCGACGGGUAAUGAGAAAAUCGCUAUAUUCUGCACAAAAGACAUGCUAUCAUCCAUAUCUAGAACUUCUAAUAACACACAUUCAGAAUCCGCUCUUUUUCUACAGGACACGAAUACAAACUCCACGACUAUUAGAAUAGAGGGCCACCUGAGAUUUGCCUAUGCUAUGACACCACGAAUUCUAGCUUGAGCCAUCCUCACGGCGAGUCUAAUUAGGAGUAUAUAAUAAAGGAGUAUCGCUGCAAAGGCAAGAAAAAUACUGUAAGGCCGUUCAAUAAUAUUCUGUGGUUCUAACAGUUUCAGAAUGAGAAAAGAAAAUUCUGUAAAAUAGGGGUACGCCAUCCAGCUUGGUAUCAUAAUGACUCAAGUACAAGACCGAGAAAUUUGUUGAAUUCUUUCAACAAAGUUGGUGAUAACAAUGUUUCAGGAAGCCAGUUUAGACCAGGU